rnacentral:rRNA from 1 species
GAUCCUGGCUCAGGAUGAACGCUAGCUACAGGCUUAACACAUGCAAGUCGAGGGGCAGCGGGAUUGAAGCUUGCUUCAAUUGCCGGCGACCGGCGCACGGGUGAGUAACGCGUAUCCAACCUUCCGUACACUCAGGGAUAGCCUUUCGAAAGAAAGAUUAAUACCUGGUGGUAUGAUGAGAUUGCAUGGUAUCAUCAUUAAAGAUUUAUCGGUGUACGAUGGGGAUGCGUUCCA